UACGAAGGGGGCUAGCGUUGCUCGGAAUCACUGGGCGUAAAGCGCACGUAGGCGGCUUUCUAAGUCAGGGGUGAAAUCCCGAGGCUCAACCUCGGAACUGCCUUUGAUACUGGGGAUCUCGAGUCCGGGAGAGGUGAGUGGAACUGCGAGUGUAGAGGUGAAAUUCGUAGAUAUUCGCAAGAACACCAGUGGCGAAGGCGGCUCACUGGCCCGGUACUGACGCUGAGGUGCGAAAGCGUGGGGAGCAAACAGG
rnacentral:rRNA from 1 species